CAACCUUGAUAAACGAAAAGAUCUUUGAUUUUGCAAUUGAGGGUUGCCAUGUUGUCAAGAUCGACAACCCUUCCAUGGGCAAUAGGUUUGUCUUUUAAGGCAAGGAAGAGAUCCUUAUUUGGGGAAUCUUAGAAAUUAAAGUCAAUUUAAGAGAGGCAGAGAAAUUAACCUUUGAUUUCUUUGGGUUGGACGAAAUAGAGUGUUCAUAGAAGUCACCCUGAGAAGAGGCGAAUCCCUCAGAAUGAUCGGACCCUAAGUCUACCUGUUCCAGAGGCAAUGUUGGGGGUUUUGCUUUGGAACAUGUGCUUUUUC
rnacentral:lncRNA from 1 species